CAUACCUUCAUCUACAGUUGUUGUGGCCUUCACAACAUGUAAAUAUUCUUUCCUUGUCAUAAAAUCACCAACUGUGUACGCCCCAUUCCUCGGCUGUACAGAGUUUGUCACACUUGCUCCCACAGCUGCAACUGGGACAGAUUGGCGAUAUCUUCUUCUCGAGAGAUUACCGCCAGGAAAAUCGAAAGACCUUCUAUUGCAGCGAUAAGUGGCGAGGUAAGUACGGGGCAAUUCAUGGUUUUUGUCAGAAAACGAGGCAAGCCCAAAAAGCUGCAUGGAGUGGAGAGGACUUGUGAAAGAAAAAGAUCCCAUUUUUUUUUUCACCAAUUUCUCUGCUGUUUAUGGAUUGAUAACAUCAAUAGCCCUGCUCAAGCUCAACACCCAGAAACCACACCAAUCUGUAUCGGCCCAAAAGAGAGGAACU